AAGAGGAAGAAGUCGCGAACCGAGGUC
rnacentral:piRNA from 1 species